GAUUAACGCUGGCGGCGUGCCUAACACAUGCAAGUCGAGCGGAGGUAUGAAGUAGUUUACUAUGACAUACUUUAGCGGCGGACGGGUGAGUAACACGUGGGCAACCUGCCUCGAAGUGGGGGAUAACAUUGAGAAAUCAGUGCUAAUACCGCAUAACAUACAGACACUGCAUGGUGACUGUAUCAAAGGAGUAAUCCGCUUUGAGAUGGGCCCGCGGCUGAUUAGCUAGUUGGUGAGGUAAUGGCUCACCAAGGCGACGAUCAGUAGCCGACCUGAGAGGGUGACCGGCCACACUGGAACUGAGACACGGUCCAGACUCCUACGGGAGGCAGCAGUGGGGAAUAUUGCGCAAUGGGGGAAACCCUGACGCAGCAACGCCGCGUGGAGGAAGAAGGUCUUCGGAUUGUAAACUCCUGUCUUCUGGGACGAUAAUGACGGUACCAGAGGAGGAAGCCACGGCUAACUACGUGCCAGCAGCCGCGGUAAUACGUAGGUGGCGAGCGUUGUCCGGAAUUAUUGGGCGUAAAGGGCGCGUAGGCGGCUCUUUAAGUCAGAUGUGAAAACCCAGGGCUUAACUUUGGGAGUGCAUUUGAAACUGAAGGGCUCGAGUGCAGGAGAGGUAAGUGGAAUUCCUAGUGUAGCGGUGAAAUGCGUAGAUAUUAGGAGGAACACCAGUGGCGAAGGCGACUUACUGGACUGUAACUGACGCUGAGGCGCGAAAGCGUGGGGAGCAAACAGGAUUAGAUACCCUGGUAGUCCACGCUGUAAACGAUGGAUACUAGGUGUGGGAGGUAUCGACCCCUUCCGUGCCGCAGUUAACGCAAUAAGUAUCCCGCCUGGGGAGUACGGCCGCAAGGUUG
rnacentral:rRNA from 1 species